CAUAUUGCCCUUUUGAUAUACCUAGUAAGUAAUUUCUAUUACAUAUAAUGAAUCACUGUUGAAUAAUUGUUAGAUUGUUUCAGGACAGUAAAGAGCAUGAACAAGUUUGUGGCAGUAGCCCAACAUCAUAUAUCAGCAAAAAAUGAAGUUCAGAAAAGAACAAUAUUUCAUACCGAGGAAACUUCUGAGCAAUGCAUAUCAUUUUAAAUGCAAUGACUCUUUAA
rnacentral:lncRNA from 1 species